GGACUGUGGCUCAGCGGUAGAGCACUUGCUUAGCACAUGUGAGGCCCUGGGUUCCAUCCUCAGCACCA
rnacentral:tRNA from 1 species